rnacentral:rRNA from 1 species
UACGGGAGCAGCAGUGGGGAAUAUUGCACAAUGGGCGCAAGCCUGAUGCAGCCAUGCCGCGUGUAUGAAGAAGGCCUUCGGGUUGUAAAGUACUUUCAGUCGUGAGGAAGGUGUUAAGGUUAAUAACCUUAGCAAUUGACGUUAGCGACAGAAGAAGCACCGGCUAACUCCGUGCCAGCAGCCGCGGUAAUACGGAGGGUGCGAGCGUUAAUCGGAAUUACUGGGCGUAAAGGGCACGCAGGCGGUUAAUUAAGUUGGAUGUGAAAUCCCCGGGCUUAACCUGGGAAUGGCAUUCAAGACUGGUUAGCUAGAGUCUUGUAGAGGGGGUAGAAUUCCAUGUGUAGCGGUGAAAUGCGUAGAGAUGUGGAGGAAUACCGGUGGCGAAGGCGGCCCCUGGACAAAGGCUGACGCUCAUGUGCGAAAGCGUGGGGAGCAAAC